ensembl:lncRNA
GUAGGUUUAUGAAAGCUGUGUUGUGGAAAGGGUUUACGUAGGUGUGAUCUAGCCUCGUGAGCACUCUGGUUAUCCACUUCCUGUAGGAUCCUGUAAAUAAACACACACUGCAGUACACACGUGCAGGAGAUUUAUUUUUAAAGAGCAGGGGUUUAUUACAGGGAGGAGCGUAGAGCUGUGCUACGUAAGCCUUCGCUGCAGUGACGUUAGCAGUCUGCUAAUGCAGUCUUCCUCUCCUGUUCAAGCUUCCUUCCAAGCGUGUCUCCACCUGGUUGUGUCUCAGGGAGGUGAAUGGCUCUUCACAGGCAGCUGGGGUUGGUGUUAGCGUGCAGCGGGGUGCUCUGGUCAGGAGGGUGGAGCGGGAGGGCGGUGUCGGUAUUCGGGGAGGUGGUGCAGGAUCCAUCCCGCCGGGAGAAGGAGAGCAAUCGCGAACACGGACAUUAUGAAGAACGUUUGCUGUGGAAACACACGGACAGUGAAAACGAAAACCCGCACAAGAUUACACUUUCAUUCAGGUUUUGUUAUCAUCCGCUACUUAUCAUCGUAAUAAUGUGGAGUUUACUGAUCACGUGAUGAUCGUGAUUGUGAAGCUGUGCUUGUGUGUGGGUGAAAACGAGGAAAUAUAUUUAUUAGGCGAGUUGAAAACAAAAUUAUUGAAAACCGCAGCAGCAUUUCGUCAACCUUUAUCAUUUUUAUAAGGGAGUAUUUAAUUCAGUUCAGCUGCUGUUUUGUAAAGAAUAAAGCGCCCCACGUUGUGCUGUUGUAGGAAAAUAAUCAACAGUGGUGUGACGUGACGUGACGUGACAUGACGUGGCGUGGUGUGACGCGACGUGACGUGGCAUGGUGCGGUGUGACGUGGCAUGGUGCGGUGUGACGUGGCAUGGCAUGACGUGAUGUGAUGUGGCAUGGCGUGGUGUGACGUGACGUGGCAUGGCGUGACGUGGCGUGGCGUGACGUGGUGUAGCGUGGCGUGACGUGGCAUGACAUGGCGUGGCGUGGAGUGGCGUGGUGUGACGUGGCAUGACGUGACGUGGUGUGGCGUGACGUGACGUGACGUGGCGUGACGUGACGUGACGUGACGUGAUGAAGUGGAGUUCCUGUGACUUCUGAUUAUUUUCCGACAGCAGCACAUCAUCCGAGUGUUUUCUUCCUGUUAUACCGCAGCCAACGGUUUUCCAACACCGAUACUUUUUCAUGCACUAAACACCCCGUCGUACUUUUUAUCCAUUUACAGUUACAGUACAUUUAACGUUGCUGAACGUCCAAGUUAGUUCCUGUCCUCACUUCCAUUACAGCAGCUACGAACAGCCUCUCUUCACUCCGUUCUCUCUGGACGUUAAUUAGACAAACCUCCGACUGUUACGCCGCUCUGACACUGGAGACUCCUUCCAUAAAAGUCCAACACACCUCACCUCACACGUGUUAUUUUUUAACCCGUCCGUUUAGAGCGUCCGCCCCACGGACGCGCCGUUACUAUAGAAACGAUGGCGCAUUAGGACGCGCGCAUUAAUACGAAGCUGUGAUCCGGAGCUGCGCUACUGUCAGAGCUGCUGUUCUAGAAAUCUAAUCAACACCUUCUGUCCAAUCACGAUCCAGGUAUAUACCCUACACUGCGAUCAUGUGAAUGGUUUAUAGAGCACGUUCUCAGCAUGUGAGUUUGUCAGGGUGAGGAAUGUAAAUAUGAGCACAUCGACAGCUCCUUGACGUUUAAAGGGUUCAGGAAUAAAAAAGGAGGCAUUUCCUGUUAUAUCUGUACAGCGUAUUUUAACAGCGGACUCUGCCGCUGCGCAGCUUUACGGGAGUUGAUUAUUCUCCUGUUAUUUGAGUGACGCGAGUACGUUACACGCUUGCCGGUGGGAUUUGAGUUCUCAGAGUACUUAAAGACUGAUUAGUGAAUGUUUCUCCCAAUCCCCUGGCCCUCAGUCACAAUUUUUCCUUCUCAGUUUGAUUCAAGUGCACUUGAGUUAACUAAUCACAGGCCUGGGGAUUAGUCCAAGGUCAGGCAAUGCAACAAUCAGGUGCAUCUGAUGUAAACUGCGCGUGUGAUUCAUGCACCGUUUAGUGUGUGUUCAUUGUUUUGUUUUGCUAAUUUAUUGUUUUUUUGUUAGAGGUCGUUUUCAGUUUAUUCUGCUCCACAUGUAACUAUACUGAAACGCAGGUUAGACGAAUAAGUGAAAACGGAGGAAUCGCAGAAAUUGACCAUACCCCACCCCCCAGGCAAAAGGGUCAUGUUUUAAUGUUUCAUUACAGUUAUAGCACUUCCUGGCAGUUAAAUAAGAAACAAAAAUAAGCAAACCACUAAACCUUUUUUAUUCCGGUAGAGUGAUCCACAUCCGAUUAAAUUUAACCGCACAAAUUGAAUAACAAGUCAGAAUAUGGAAAUGAAGCAGCGGAUUAUUUAAUUUUCCAUUUAAAUGAUUCUAAUGUCAUGGGAUUGUUUGAAUCACAUGUAGGACACAGGCAUAUUUUUACGUGCUGUAGUUUACUGGUGAAAUGUCACCGAAAGUCAAACCCACGUGAGAUAUUGAGAAAUUGUCCACAUGGGGUUUUAUUCCACAUGAGAAAUGUGUGAAACGAAGCGGAUGCUCAUCCUACUCGCCCGCCAUUUUGGGAAAACAUUCGAUAGGAUGGAUUUAAUGUCAGCAAACGGGGAAAUUCAACCAAACGGUGACUAUAUUCACCCGAAUCAUUCUGUUAUCUACAGGAACGGUUCAGGAAAUACGGCAAGCUUUUCUUUUUUAAAACCUAAAAGCUUAAAAAUAUUACACAAUGCAGUGGCUGACAUUGGAGAUGGAAUAAACGUACAACAAAUCGAGUAUUUAUAUGAAUCAUUCAUGAGGGUUUUUUGUUUUUUUUACAUAGUAUGGACGUGUGAAAGUUUUGGAUAAAUGAUCAUUAGAAGCAAAAGCGCUAUUUUAUUAUCACUGUGUUCGGAUUUAAUGGAAUUUUCUAGUUACUUUGAGAGCAAAACGAAAUUUAGGUUCGAUUUUGACCACCUGCACUCGUUUAAACACUCACCCCAGGUCCGAUCUUGGUCUUGGGUGGCUUGCUGUAGAUGCUGCCGCUGCGAUUCUGCAGGACGACCCUGGACCGGCUGACGUUCCUGAGCUGCAUGGUUCUGCUGGUUCUUCUCAGAGCCUCCAACAUGUUGAGAGCAGAAAGAGAGUGAGAGAGAGAGUGAAAAAGAGCAAGGGGGGGGGGGGGGGGUGAGAGAGAUAAAGAAAAUAAUGAGAGAGAGAGAGAGAGAGAGAGUUGCUGUGCUCAACCCCUGGAUCUCUCCUCUCCAGUGCUGAUGAUUAACCAAGGUUGUCCUGUUAAAUUGAACAGAAUGUGACCCAAACCCGGCCCACUCUGAGGGCGGAGUCUAUCUCCACUCACAGAAACUUCUCCACUUCUUACAGACUGACG